GCCAAUACAGGGGGGGGACCGGAAGGAGACACAGGGCGCCGCCAUGACAGGUUGGUCCUAAAGGGAACGAGGCAACUUGCCGGUUCUGUACCGGAAAAAACGAGGCAGGGACAGCUGACCUGGGCGCCGCCAUGACAGCCCGCACCGGAAAAGGCGGGGCUCUUCUCCCUGACUGAUUUCCCUCCGGCACCGGCCUCGAGAUGCAGGCGGCCCUGGAGGUCACUGCUCGCUACUGUGGCCGGGAGCUGGAGCAAUAUGGUCAGUGUGUGGCGGCCAAGCCUGAGUCAUGGCAGCGGGACUGUCACCACCUUAAGAUGAGUAUCGCUCAAUGCACAUCCUCUCACCCAAUCAUCCGGCAGAUCCGCCAGGCCUGUGCUGAGCCUUUUGAGGCCUUUGAGGAGUGUCUUCGACAGAAUGAGGCAGCAGUGGGCAACUGUGCAGAGCACGUGCGCCGCUUCCUGCAGUGUGCUGACCAGGUGCAGCCACCACGCUCACCCUCGAAUGUGGAGUAAGAAUUCUCUAAACUGCCUGCAGUCUUGAGGACACCCUUCUUUUCUUCUAUGUGGUGGUGAAACCAAAAAUCCUAAUUAUUCCAUGAUCAGUGCUUUUGUCAAGAGGAUACUGAGCUUGAUGUCAUCACAUCGGACUGACACCAGGAAUUAGUGUGAUGUGGGCUUGCUGAGCUGCGCGUCAAAGCAGAUUUUACGUAAUGAAGUAAAAGCGAUCAAGUAAAAAAAAAUCUCAUUAAAUGCUUCUGUGAAUUUUGAGGAAAUGGAAAUGUGACCAAAAUGCACAUUAUGAACACCUCAGUGUCACAGUGCUCAUUGGGACCUCAGGUGGAAAGCUGCAGUCCUAAAGUAUAAAGAGAAGCUGGUAAAGCUAAAAGGAGAAGAGCUUCCCUUCCAAACCAGGAUCCGAUUAGGAUUAAGCUGUAAACAAAUGAGGGCCUCAGCCAGCUCUGAUGUGCGGGCCAUAAGGGUCUCGGCCGUAUCAUGAAGCAGAGGGCUAGGUGGGCUUUAUUGACCAUGUGAUGGACCUCAGCUUGGGGCACCAACGGCCCUUGGCAGCUUUCCUGUUCAGUCCCUCCUAGCUUUCCUUCAUUCCUGAACACGGCCAUCCCCACCUUGCAAAGAAUUCCUCGCAUUGCACUUGCUGCCCCAGCUGUAUUUUGUGCAUACCUCUGUGACUGCUUUUACCACGCCAGACCGUAUUGCAAGUCUUUUUGACGUGGCUGGCUGCUCAACUGAAUUCCUGGAGGGAGCCUGGCCCGGGGAACCCUGUCAACGAGGGUUUGGUGCGUUGAGAAGAGACGAAUGUCUGCUCUCUCUUGGGGUCUGCAGGCACCCAUCUCUUCCAGACUGUGGCCUGGGUGAGGGGGUGCCGUGGGCUGAGGAGGGAGAAGCAGGCCAGGGCAAGCCACUUUGGAGCAGGACGGGCAGGUACUGCCCAGAGGCAGGAAGCAGUGGCUGGGAUUCAACAGGGUAUUUACAAAACUCAGUUAUCUCUUCACUUUGGAUAGAAACCCCAUAAUUUAAGAAAUGAAGACGAUAAACCUGAGCUUCAGGGUGAACUUUGGCACUCGAAAGCAGGCUCCUGGGACUGCAGUUGCUAAAGAACUAAUAAUUAGAGGGGCGCCUGGGUGGCUUAGUCGGCUGAGCCUCCGAUUUCAUCUCAGGUCAUGGUCUAUGGUUCUUGAGUUCGAGCCCUGCAUCAGCGCAAAGCCUGCUAUGGAUCCUCUGUCCCUUUUCUCUCUGCCCCUCCCCUGCUUGUGUGUGGGCUCUCUCUCUCUCUCUCUCUCUCUCUCUCAAAAUAAACAUUUAAAAAAAAACUAAUUAAGUGGCAGGUGGCAACCAACUCAGGUCUGGGCAUCGAGAGCCCAAAGGUGAUGGAAGUCCCUCCCCCACUAGUUAAUCCAACCCUAGGGCCUUGGAGCUUCGGCCUCUUCUCUGCUUUGCCUCUCAUCCUGAGCGAGUAAGCAGAAUACAGGGAAGGAGGGUGGUGAAUGUUGUGUCUCCCCAACCCUGUCAUACCAACAUGCUAAUAGUCCUGGUGGAAAAUUUUCUUGUAACUGUCGGAAAUGACACAGAUCAUGAAACAUCAAUAGCACAUAUAUCACAACAUGACAUUGGGAAACAUAAGUUAUUGUUCUGCUUGUCCUACGAUAGCGGUGACCACACUUUCACAAAGAAAGAAAAAACAAACAUCGAGAGCUCUCUUCUGUAGAGACACCAACACCUCAGAAAGGAACCUGGAAUCUGAUUCCAGAACAUUCCAGCCGGUCUCUGCUUGCAUCGGGGCCCCAUUCCCUUUGUGUCUUUGUUCUUUCAACUUUAUUGAAUGCCUUCUAGCAGGAUAGCAUUGUGAUGUCUACCACAAGGGAAGAAGUUUAACUUGUAAAAGGAUUUGAGCAACUCUGUAGGUUAAAAACUAAACAAAGACAAAUUCCUCUUAACUAUUUGCCUAGUUCUGCUUUCUGUUAUGCACUCCAGCUGUAACCCACUGUGAGCAUUAUUUGUCACACGGGAAAGAGAACCCGGCCCUUAUUCCCCCGAGCUUACCUCUUCCACGUAACCAAGGUAAAGUGAGAAGCCUUGGCCUGCAGAGGACAAAGGUCAGAGCUCAGACCUUUAUUCACAAGCCCUGUGGUCUUGGGAAGGGACUCCUGAACCCAGUUUCUUCUUAUCUGUAGAAUGUGGAUAACUAUACUGCUCCCCAAGCCUCUGUGAGGAGGGAAGGAGGGGAUAUACAUGGCAACAGCUAACAUUCAUGAAGCUAAUAAUUUUUGAAGUUUUUUUUUAAAUUUACUUACUGAUUUAAGUUUAUUUCAGAGAGAGAGAGAGAGAGAGAGAGCACAAGUGGGGGAGGGAGAGAGAGAGAGGUA